AGGCCUAACACAUGCAAGUCGAACGAGAAAGUGAUCUUCGGAUCGCGAGUAGAGUGGCGCACGGGUGAGUAACACGUGGAUAACCUGCCCUAUGAUCUGGGAUAACCCACCGAAAGGAGGGCUAAUACCGGAUAAGCCCACAGAGACUUCGGUCUCAGUGGGAAAAGAUUUAUCGUCAUAGGAUGGGUCCGCGGUCCAUUAGCUAGUUGGUGGGGUAACGGCCUACCAAGGCCACGAUGGAUAGCUGGUCUGAGAGGAUGAUCAGCCACACUGGAACUGAGACACGGUCCAGACUCCUACGGGAGGCAGCAGUGGGGAAUUUUGCGCAAUGGGGGAAACCCUGACGCAGCAACGCCGCGUGAAGGAUGUAGGCCUUUGGGUCGUAAACUUCUGUCAGAGGGGAAGAAAUGCCCGCAAGGGAGCUGACGGUACCCUCAAAGGAAGCACCGGCUAACUCCGUGCCAGCAGCCGCGGUAAUACGGAGGGUGCAAGCGUUGUUCGGAAUUAUUGGGCGUAAAGAGCAUGUAGGCGGUCUGUUAAGUCUGGUGUGAAAGCCCGGGGCUCAACCCCGGAAGUGCAUUGGAUACUGGCCGACUUGAGUAUGGGAGAGGAAGGCGGAAUUCCGAGUGUAGGAGUGAAAUCCGUAGAUAUUCGGAGGAACACCAGUGGCGAAGGCGGCCUUCUGGACCAAUACUGACGC
rnacentral:rRNA from 1 species